CACGGAAGGGGCAAGCGUUACUCGUACGUAUUGGGCGUAAGGCGUCCGUAGGUGGUGUAAAAACUUAUUUUCCCGGCCUGGGCUUGUACUUGCCCGCCGGGCUAGAACACCCGGGUAGCUCACAGGUGCAAGGUACCCUUGAUGGAGGGGUGGAAUCCAAAAAGAUCAAUGGGGACCCCCCACGGCGAAGGCAUUGUCACCGGGAGCUUCCAACACUGAGGGACUAAAGCGUGGGGAGCAAACAGG
rnacentral:rRNA from 1 species